rnacentral:rRNA from 1 species
UGGGGAAUAUUGCACAAUGGGGGAAACCCUGAUGCAGCGACGCCGCGUGAAGGAAGAAGUAUCUCGGUAUGUAAACUUCUAUCAGCAGGGAAGAAAAUGACGGUACCUGACUAAGAAGCCCCGGCUAACUACGUGCCAGCAGCCGCGGUAAUACAGAGGGUGCAAGCGUUAAUCGGAUUUACUGGGCGUAAAGCGCGCGUAGGUGGCCAAUUAAGUCAAAUGUGAAAUCCCCGAGCUUAACUUGGGAAUUGCAUUCGAUACUGGUUGGCUAGAGUAUGGGAGAGGAUGGUAGAAUUCCAGGUGUAGCGGUGAAAUGCGUAGAGAUCUGGAGGAAUACCGAUGGCGAAGGCAGCCAUCUGGCCUAAUACUGACACUGAGGUGCGAAAGCAUGGGGAGGCAAACAGGAUUAGAUACCCUGGUA